GACGAACGCUGGCGGCAUGCCUAAUACAUGCAAGUCGAACGAAGCGGACUAAAGUGCUUGCACUUUUGAAGUUUAGUGGCGGACGGGUGAGUAACACGUAGGCAACCUGCCUGUAAGCCGGGGAUAACUCACGGAAACGUGAGCUAAGACCGGAUAGACAAGAGGAAGGCAUCUUCUUUUUGGGAAAGACGGAGCAAUCUGUCGCUUACAGAUGGGCCUGCGGCGCAUUAGCUAGUUGGUGAGGUAACGGCUCACCAAGGCGACGAUGCGUAGCCGACCUGAGAGGGUGAACGGCCACACUGGGACUGAGACACGGCCCAGACUCCUACGGGAGGCAG
rnacentral:rRNA from 1 species